rnacentral:rRNA from 1 species
UACAGAGGUGGCAAGCGUUGUUCGGAAUUACUGGGCGUAAAGGGCGCGUAGGCGGCCUUCUAAGUCAGACGUGAAAUCCCCCGGCUUAACCUGGGAACUGCGUCUGAUACUGGGGGGCUUGAGUAUGGGAGAGGGAUGUAGAAUUCCAGGUGUAGCGGUGAAAUGCGUAGAUAUCUGGAGGAACACCGGUGGCGAAGGCGGCAUCCUGGACCGGUAUUGACGCUGAGGCGCGAAAGCUAGGGGAGCAAACGGG